rnacentral:rRNA from 1 species
GGGAGGCAGCAGUGGGGAAUCUUGCGCAAUGGGGGCAACCCUGACGCAGCCAUACCGCGUGUGUGAUGAAGGUCUUCGGAUUGUAAAGCACUUUCAGUGGGGACGAUGAUGACGGUACCCACAGAAGAAGUCACGGCUAACUUCGUGCCAGCAGCCGCGGUAAUACGAAGGUGGCGAAUGUUGCUCGGAUUCACUGGGCGUAAAGCGUCGGUAGGUGGUUUGUUAAGUCAGAGGUGAAAGCCCCGCGCUCAACGUGGGAAUUGCCUUUGAAACUGAUGAACUUGAAGAUAUGAGAGGAUGGCGGAAUGACUGGUGUAGAGGUAAAAUUCAUAGAUAUCAGUCGGAACACCCAAGGCGAAGGCAGCUAUCUGGCAUAUUCUUGACACUGAGCGACGACAGCGUGGGGAGCAAACAGGAUUAGAUACCCUGGUAGG